UACGAAGGGGGCGAGCGUUAUUCGGAAUUAUUGGGCGUAAAGGGCGCGUAGGCGGCCCGGUAAGUCAAAGGUGAAAUCCCUCGGCUCAACUGAGGAACUGCCUUUGAAACUGUCGGGCUUGAGGCCGGGAGGGGGUAGCGGAAUUCCCAGUGUAGCGGUGAAAUGCGUAGAUAUUGGGAGGAACACCAGUGGCGAAGGCGGCUACCUGGACCGGUUCUGACGCUGAUGCGCGAAAGCGUGGGUAGCAAACAGG
rnacentral:rRNA from 1 species